rnacentral:rRNA from 1 species
AUUGAACGCUGGCGGCGUGCUUAACACAUGCAAGUCGAGCGGUAAGGCCCUUUCGGGGGUACACGAGCGGCGAACGGGUGAGUAACACGUGGGUGACCUGCCCUCAGCUCUGGGAUAAGCCUGGGAAACUGGGUCUAAUACCGGAUAUGACUCCAUGACGCAUGUUGUGGGGUGGAAAGCCUUGUGCGGCUGAGGAUGGGCCCGCGGCCUAUCAGCUUGUUGGUGGGGNGAUGGCCUACCAAGGCGACGACGGGUAGCCGGCCUGAGAGGGCGACCGGCCACACUGGGACUGAGACACGGCCCAGACUCCUACGGGAGGCAGCAGUGGGGAAUCUUGCGCAAUGGGCGAAAGCCUGACGCAGCGACGCCGCGUGAGGGAUGACGGCCUGGUGU